CUCAGACACUGUCAGCAAAGCUAAAUUAAAAAAAAAUCAAAGAAAGUUGGUGCAAAUUUUCUACGUCAGGAAUACACUGAAGAAGAAAUCCAGUUGCUUACCUUGUUAAGAAGAGGUUGCAGUUUGAAGCUCAAAAGCAACACAGUGUUUUCAAGCUCAGAAUUGUUGGAAGAGAAGAAGAUAACUCUGGUAUUUCUGAAACUAAGAAGCAAC